UGUCCUGGUACCUUUGAAUUUAGGAACUGA
rnacentral:piRNA from 1 species